UGGGGAAUAUUGCACAAUGGGCGCAAGCCUGAUGCAGCCAUGCCGCGUGUGUGAAGAAGGCCUUCGGGUUGUAAAGCACUUUCAGCGAGGAGGAAGGUGGUGAGCUUAAUAACGCUCAUCAAUUGACGUUACUCGCAGAAGAAGCACCGGCUAACUCCGUGCCAAGCAGCCGCGGUAAUACGGAGGGUGCAAGCGUUAAUCGGAAUUACUGGGCGUAAAGCGCACGCAGGCGGUUUGUUAAGUCAGAUGUGAAAUCCCCGGGCUCAACCUGGGAACUGCAUUUGAAACUGGCAAGCUAGAGUCUCGUAGAGGGGGGUAGAAUUCCAGGUGUAGCGGUGAAAUGCGUAGAGAUCUGGAGGAAUACCGGUGGCGAAGGGCGGCCCCCUGGACGAAGACUGACGCUCAGGUGCGAAAGCGUGGGGAGCAAACAGGAUUAGAUA
rnacentral:rRNA from 1 species